GCCGUCGUGGCCCCGAGUGGUAUAAGGCGAUGGACUAGAAAUCCAUUGGGGUCUCCCCGCACAGGUUGGAAUCCUGUCAACUGCG
rnacentral:tRNA from 1 species